CAGACCCAAUGGGGGAAGGCUGCCUAUGAAGGUUGCUCUAAUGAUGAGUGAUUUUGCUGGAGGAGCAUCAGGCUUUCCAAUGACUUUCAGUGGUGGAAAAUUUACGGAGGAAUGGAAAGCCCAAUUCAUUAAAACAGAAAGGAAGAAGCUCCUGAACUACAAGGCUCGGCUGGUGAAGAACCUGCAACCCCGAAUUUAUUGUCCCUUUGCUGGGUAUUUUGUGGAAUCUCACCCAUCAGACAAGUACAUCAAGGAAACAAACACCAAAAAUGACCCAAAUGAACUCAACAAUCUUAUCAAGAAAAACUCUGAUGUGAUAACAUGGACCCCUCGACCGGGAGCCACCCUUGAUCUGGGAAGAAUGCUGAAGGAUCCAACAGACAGCAAGGGCAUCAUAGAGCCUCCAGAGGGGACAAAAAUUUACAAGGAUUCCUGGGAUUUUGAACCUUAUUUGGAAAUCUUGAAUGCUGCUGUAGGAGAUGAAAUAUUUCUUCACUCAUCCUGGAUAAAAGAAUACUUCACUUGGGCUGGAUUUAAAGAUUACAACCUUGUGGUCAGGAUGAUUGAGACAGAUGAGGACUUCAAUCCUUUUCCUGGAGGAUAUGACUAUUUGGUUGACUUUUUAGAUUUAUCCUUCCCAAAAGAAAGACCACAACGAGAACAUCCCUAUGAGGAAAUCCAUAGCCGGGUGGAUGUCAUCAGACACGUGGUGAAGAAUGGUCUACUCUGGGACGAGUUGUAUAUAGGAUUCCAAACACGGCUCCAGCGGGAUCCUGACAUAUACCAUCACCUGUAAGUCUGGAAGCACCUGGCGCCCCCAGGCCAUUGCUGAGGAUGCUGUGGAUAUGCAUAAGCAGUCAGUGACUGCAGAAGCCCCCAGAUUCUGACUAAUAUGUGAGAUUCCACCAUUAGAGCUUCAUUCCUUUGUUAGUUUGUUAAAAAGCAAAUCUGGUUAGGAA
rnacentral:sRNA from 1 species